rnacentral:rRNA from 1 species
UUCAAUAGCGGAGGAAAAGAAACCAACAGGGAUUGCCCUAGUAACGGCGAGUGAAGCGGCAACAGCUCAAAUUUGAAAUCUGGCCUUCGGGUCCGAAUUGUAAUUUGCAGAGGAUGCUUUUGGCGAGGUGCCUUCCGAGUUCCCUGGAACGGGACGCCUUAGAGGGUGAGAGCCCCGUACGGUUGGACAUUAAGCCUCUGUAAAGCUCCUUCGACGAGUCGAGUAGUUUGGGAAUGCUGCUCUAAAUGGGAGGUAAAUUUCUUCUAAAGCUAAAUACCGGCCAGAGACCGAUAGCGCACAAGUAGAGUGAUCGAAAGAUGAAAAGCACUUUGAAAAGAGGGUUAAAUAGCACGUGAAAUUGUUGAAAGGGAAGCGUUUACGGCCAGACCUUUUCCUAGCGGAUCAUCUAGUGUUUUCACUGGUGCACUUCGCUAGGUUUAGGCCAGCAUCGGCUUCUGUAGAGGGAUAAAAGCAGUGGGAAAGUAGCUCUUUAGGGAGUGUUAUAGCCCUAAGCAUAAUACCUUUAUAGGGGCCGAGGACCGCGCUUCGGCAAGGAUGCUGGCGUAAUGGUCGUUAACGACCCGUCUUGAAACACGGACCAAGGAGUCGAACAUUUGUGCGAGUGUUUGGGUGUUAAACCCUCACGCGUAAUGAAAGUGAACGGAGGUGAGAGCCCUUUAGGGGGUGCAUCAUCGACCGAUCCUGAUGUUUUCGGAUGGAUUUGAGUAAGAGCAUUAAUGUUCGGACCCGAAAGAUGGUGAACUAUGCGUGGAUAGGGUGAAGCCAGAGGAAACUCUGGUGGAGGCUCGCAGCGGUUCUGACGUGCAAAUCGAUCGUCAAAUCUGCGCAUGGGGGCGAAAGACUUAUCGAACCAUCUAGUAGCUGGUUACGGCGAGU